rnacentral:tRNA from 1 species
GGGCGCGUGGCGAAAUUGGUAGACGCGCUAGCCUUAGGAGCUAGUGAACUUGUUCGUGGAGGUUCGAGUCCUCUCGCGCCCACCA